UCUUCUUAAUUUGAAGUGCAACACUAUAAGAAAAUACUACCAAUAUCAAAAAGUUGCAUUUCUUCUUUGUAUCUAAUAACUAGGCAUUUCCAACUCUUAAGUCUUGUAAAUCCUUAUGUUUGUAACUGCCAAAAAAUUAUAUUCUCAUAUUUCUCGGCUCAAGGAAAAAGCACAAGCUAAACCAGUUCAACAUCACACUUGUUUCAUAACAACAAAUAGUCCUAGAGUACUCUAAAUAAAAUAUCAGAAGUCCUACAUAUUUUAACAAGAAUUUUGUAAACACUUCAUCCUUCAGUAUGUAGUAUAUCCAAUUGAAUUUGUUUUGAGAAAGAGUGAAUUAUUAUACAUACCUCAUGGUUAUUAAACUUGUUUGUUUUUACAUUGAUGCCCAUAACACAAUUGCCUAAAAAGACAAAAAAAAAAUUCUUGUUAAUUCUUUUACAAGAAUUUAUAACAGAUAACAAAAGAGAAAAGUACAAAGCAACAAAAGAAUUAAAAAAACUUGUAGACUUUUUAAACUUCUUAAAGAAUCUUCAUCCCAAUUUUGUAAUGUUGCUUUGUUGUUUCAGUCCAUGAACUAUGGCUCCUCCCAAAAUUACCACUUCAAAAUCUUCAAAUUUUCACUCACUAUAUAUAAAAAAUAGGACAGAAUAUUAAAUUGCUGAAUAAUUCGCAAAUUAAAACCAAAAAUUCAUGUCAAGUAGGUAUGAGAAAAUUAGCAAACCGUAAAAUAUAGAGAUACGAGCUUACCUCUUCUGCUCAAGAAUAGAAAAGCUAUGGGGUUCUCUCUCACUCUUCUUCUUUGUCGUUCUCGCAUUUUUUAGUCUAGCCAUGGUUGAAGAAAGAAUUGGAAAAGUGGGGAAGGAGAUGUGGGGGUGGGAUUGGCGGCGGAAAAGAAUAGAAUGUAGUUUAGGUUUUGGUGCUUUUGCUUUGGGCCAAUUGCAAUUAGUGUUUUUCGUUCCUUUACUUGUUAUUAUAUUCUUGUGUAUUGCUUUCUUUUAU
rnacentral:lncRNA from 1 species